GUAAUCGUAGCUUAAAACAAUUGCCAAGGAAGAAGUUAGAGUCACGAGAUGCUUGGCUCCCCUACAUGUGUUUGCAGAAACUCAGACCUCCACCCAAUAAAUCUACUACCCUCUCCCCUGACCACAGAUAAGGGGGACUGGGGGUUACACUCUGAGCACCAUUCCUUGUUCUCAAUUUCUUUCCAAGGGGCCUGGAUGUCACGGCCCUGGGUCAGAAUGAACCUUCUUUCCUGCUGAUCCCAAAUUUUAAGACAAAGCUUUGCCUGCUUCGCUGAUUACAAAUCAGAGGGACUUUGAAUCCACCUAGACCCGUAGGCCUCUGCUUUGGGAUUUCUCGCUGUUUUAGGUCAAACCAAUGUAUAACCUCCAUGCAUUGAUUUAUGACUUUGCCUGUAACCUCUGCCUCCAUGAAUUAAAGAAUUCAUACCAAGAAGCCAUCAUGAAGGCCAGGGUUUAACCAUGAGCUGCCCAAUUCUCCUUGUUUGGUUCCCUGCAAAUAAACACCUUCCUUUCUCCCACUGCAAACCUCACUGUAGACAUCUGGUCUUACUGCACUGGGUGAGCAGACCUCAGUUCAGCUCCAAAACAAGAUGAUGCAGCCUCUGCACCUUGAGAAUUGCAGGCUGCUGGACAAAUGCCUUUGCUUGCAGCCCUUGGGAGGACAGUUCUGAGACACAUUUCUCAAGUCCAGGUUAGAUAAGACCCCCGUUGUCUGUAACAGGGAUGAAGACCACAACCCAAUCUUGUUUGCCUUUCUCUCUUUCCAGUUUCACACUUGACCCAUAAACCACUUGGCAAGGAAACUUCCUGCACACAGCCCUGCCCAGGCAAUGAUACCCUUGAGUGAGCAUCUGAUAAGCCAAAACAAUUAAGAAUGAAAGAAUGCAAUGACUUGCACAGUGAAGAAUGCGAGAUCCAAACUCCCAGGUGAUGCUGAUGCUAUGAGCCUAUGGACCACACUGAAGGGCUGUGCCCCAGCCCACCACAUGUAAGUCACAAUCUCCAGGAGCAGAACCUGGCACUGGAUUCUUUUUUAAACUCCCAGGGGAUGCUACCAUGCAAUCAGAAUUCAAAAACAUGAAUGUACACUCAUAGAUGGGUUUUCCAGAAGAGAAUAAAACCUAAAAUCCCUUAGAGUUGUCCAAGUUCAUGUUACAAGACAGCAGCAUCGUGAAGACUACAGGCUACUUCCCUGACCUCUAGGUCUUGGUAGCUGACACUUUAUUACUCUAAUGCGGGGGACCCCAAACCCCCAGGCCAUGGAACAGUAGUGGUCUCUCCAUCAUAGUUCCUCCUUUUACUAACAUCAUGGCUGCAGGAUGCCCUCUUACGAUUUAAAAAGUGACAUCAAACCAAAGGAGGUGGCCGGGCACGGUGGCUCAUGCCUGUAAUCCCAGCACUUUGAGUGGCCGAGUGGACCAGUCCUGGUCCAUGGCCUGUUAGGAACUGGGCUGCACAGCAGGAAGUGAGCAGCAGGUGAGCGAACUUUCGUCUGUAUUUACAGCCAUUUCCCAUUGCUCCUUACUGCCUGAGCUCCACCUCCUGUCAGAUAAGCGGCGGCAUUUGAUUCUCAUAGCUGUGUGAACCCGAUAGCGAACUGUGCAUGCGAGGGAUCAAGGCUGCGUGCUCCUUAUGAGAAUCUAAUGCCUGAUGAUCUGUCACUGUGUCCCAUCACCUCCAGGUACAACCAUCUAGUUGCAGGAAAACAAGCUCCGGGCUCCCACUGAUCCUACGUGAUGACAUACCAUCCACUGACAAGGUGCCAAAGCCACAAGAUAAUUUAAGACUCAUAUGAGGAGGAAGGUAGGGGGCAUCCAGAGGUGAAAAUACCCCCAG
rnacentral:lncRNA from 1 species